AAAAUGCAUAGAACCAUUGCUGCGGUUAAAAAGCUCGUAGUUGGAUCUGUGCCGGCGACGUGGUCCCACCGAAAGGCGGGCACUGCGCUCGUCGGCUUUGGGCCGGUCUUCGUGCGGUCGCCUUCGCCGGCGGCCGUGCGUGGCUGGCUGGUUUACUUUGAGCAAAUCAGAGUGCUCAGCACAGGCGUUUCGCCGGAAUGUUCGUGCAUGGAAUAAUGGAAAGGAUUUCGGUCCUCUUUUAUUGGUUUUGUGGACUGAGAUAAUGGUUAACAGAGACGAACGGGGGCAUUCGUAUUGCUGCGUGAGAGGUGAAAUUCUUGGACCGCAGCAGGACGGACUACAG
rnacentral:rRNA from 1 species